GAAGCUUGCUUCUUUGCUGACGAGUGGCGGACGGGUGAGUAAUGUCUGGGAAACUGCCUGAUGGAGGGGGAUACUACUGGAAACGGUAGCUAAUACCGCAUAACGUCGCAAGACCAAAAAGGGGGGACCUUCGGGCCUCUUGCCAUCGGAUGUGCCCAGAUGGGAUUAGCUAGUAGGUGGGGUAACGGCUCACCUAGGCGACGAUCCCUAGCUGGUCUGAGAGGAUGACCAGCCACACUGGAACUGAGACACGGUCCCAGACUCCUACGGGAGGCAGCAGUGGGGAAUAUAGCACAAUGGGCGCAAGCCUGAUGCAGCCAUGCCGCGUGUAUGAAGAAGGCCUUCGGGUUGUAAAGUACUUUCAGCGGGGAGGAAGGGAGUAAAGUUAAUACCUUUGCUCAUUGACGUUACCCGCAGAAGAAGCACCGGCUAACUCCGUG
rnacentral:rRNA from 1 species